rnacentral:tRNA from 1 species
GAGGGUACAGCUCAGUGGUAGAGCGUGCGCUUAGCAUGCACAAGGUCUUGGGUUCAAGCCCCAGUACUUCCA